GUAGGAUGGAGAGGAGAAGACUGAAAACGAUGUUGAUAUGAGGAAUUCAAGGAAGUGGAAGAGGAAGAAAGUUCUGAUGAUGGUGAUAAUUAGUUUGACGACGAUGAUGAUUGGAACCAAGAGGAGGAAGUACUUGCCGCUAAAACCCACCAAAGAAUUAGCAAGAAAAUUGAUGGUGGGAGCUAGCAAUGC